rnacentral:ncRNA from 1 species
AUGAUGGCAAUGAUGAGGGGUAGUAGUUUCGGCGGUGUCACCCAGAGAGCCGGCGGUCGGUGCAAGCCGGUUGACGAAGCGGAAUGAACUCGCCUCGGAGUCAUGGUUUGAACGGGGGACGGAUGAACCCUCCUUUCGUGAAAAACCAUCGCCUCACCUCCGUUAAGGGUGCAAAGGGAGCGGAAGCAAAGCAUGUUUUCCGCUAACUAGGGUGGUACCACGGGAAUCAAACCUCUCGUCCCUAGC